GCCUGUCGGUCACCUACCUACCACACAAAGGACCAGACUUCUAGCACUACAAAAGCCCAACUUACGUCUAACGACGACGCCGCAGUGAGAGAGUAGCGCAGCAAAGAGAGAGAGCGAGAGCGAGCGCAAUGUAAGAGUCGAAUUAUCGAUUAGUUGUGGGUUGAGCAACCGCGCUUAGCCCUGAACCCCACAAUAACAACAACAGCCGCAUAGCAAAAGCUCAAGCUCAAGCUCAGUGCAAAAGUUUAUGGUCUAUCGAUUGGCACACGACAGACAGACUUGCAGCUGACCAGCAGCGAGGUGAGUGUAGAGAGCUUUGUAGAGACGACAGCCGUGGAGACUUUCGUUUGCCAAACGCAUAACGCAUGCGUCGAAUUGCAUCUCCAGUCGCUGCCUGCUUUUGUUUCUCCACUGUGGGUGGCGGGUCUGAGGCCCGGAAAUUACCGGACGGCGGCGUUUCGUAUUUUUGGGUGUGGAUUGCAACAAAGUGCAGUCAACCCCCUGAUGAGGAGUUGUCACCUUGGGGGAAGUUGCAGUGUGAAAUUUAUAUAUUGGUCAUAAAUCAAAUUGAUUUUCGUAUUUGGUUACGAGAGCAAAUCGAUGCGAUUGAACAGCAUCCAACUGACGAUGCGAAAUAUGGAACUAUUAUGAAAGUGGGAGAAAAGUUGUGCAACUCUCGGCAAUGCGGAAGUUCUUUGGGCCAAGUGCAAUUAACCUAGAAUUCUUAUGCGUCAUUGGGCAGAUUUCUUUCUGCGAAAACUAUUUCCCCAAAAACGUUGACCCAAAUAUGUCAGCUUAAUUUCACAUUUUGAUGUGAUACAUUUGGGAUACAUUUUUGUAUAAACACAAUAUUCAUGACCUGAUUUAGCAAGUAGAACAUAUGAGGUUCAAAGAGAGCACAGAGAAAAGAGUAAAGGGAAAUUAAAGGAAGAAGAGAUCGAAUGGAUUCUAUGUGGAUCAAGAGUGCACGCUGUGCAAUGUGGAAUCUGACAACGCAGUUUUCCCGUUGCAUCGCAUAUUGAUCACGCUAAACUAAACAAAGACAAAAACCUCACAGAAUAUACUUGUAUAUAAGCAUGUGUCUACAACAAUUGUUAAGUAUUAUUCACACUUUGUUUACAGCGUGUCGCCUUAGGGAACUUUCACAAAUUCGUUACGCCUCGUAAAUACACUCAAUUGGAUCAGUUUUUAUAGCACUUUUUUCCACUACACCAGCAUAUGCUGCUUAUACACACUUACAAAGUGUAUGCAAUUGUUUGUUCGUAUGUGUGUAAUUAACUACUCGACGAUAUGAAGUCUAUAUUUAUGCAUAAGCACUUGAUUGCCAUUUGAUAGACAUGUGGCCACUGACUGACUGACUGCCAAGGCAGGCGAUAAACGCAAAGCAAAGGCGCUGAUAAGUGCCAGCUUAGUUAGUCUGAGCUAAGCGACAGCAUUGAAAAGAGCGUAGGAAGAGAGAAAGGGAAGCCAAAGCAAAGGGCGCCUCAGUGAUGCCAACUUUGCGAACAGCAGUAGCAAAAAACAGAUAAGGAUUACAGAAUAAGUAUAAAAAGUGGAAGCGCAUUGUAAUUAUGAAAGUAAUGUAAUAAAGUAUUUUAUAUAAUUUGUAAUAGAAUGCUUGAAAAGACUAUCCUUAUAAUAUUUCAAAGAUCAGGAAUAGAGAAUAUUACUUUUAAUAAUA